rnacentral:rRNA from 1 species
AGUGAACGCUGGCGGUAGGCCUAACACAUGCAAGUCGAACGGAAGCACAGUAAGAGCUUGCUCUUACGGGUGGCGAGUGGCGGACGGGUGAGGAAUAUAUCGGAAUCUUCUUUUUCGUGGGGGAUAACGUAGGGAAACUUACGCUAAUACAGCAUAUGACCUACGGGUGAAAGCAGGGGUUCUUUGGACCUUGCGCGAUUGAAAGAGCCGAUGUCGGAUUAGCUAGUUGGCGGGGUAAAGGCCCACCAAGGCGACGAUCCGUAGCUGGUCUGAGAGGAUGAUCAGCCACACUGGAACUGAGACACGGUCCAGACUCCUACGGGAGGCAGCAGUGGGGAAUAUUGGGCAAUGGGCGCAAGCCUGAUCCAGCAAUACCGCGUGAGUGAUGAAGGCCUUCGGGUUGUAAAGCCCUGUUGUUGGGAAAGAAAAGCAGCAGGUUAAUACCCCGCUGUUCUGACGGUACCCAAAGAAUAAGCACCGGCUAACUUCGUG